rnacentral:misc_RNA from 1 species
GGCGUGCCUCUUUAAUAACUAUGAUUAUGUGUAGGAAAUUUAUUGGUUUCUGUGUGCGGUUAAAUGUAAAUAGGGGAAGUUAUAUAAAUUCUUACUACAGGCUCAUAAUUAUCAGGAUGUGGUCAUGAUUUAUUUGGUUUUAUCAUUUAGGCGUUUUUCUAUUACAAUGGCUUGUUUGUUGUCUCAUUUUUGCUAUUCAACCACUUUCUCUCAAUUAUAUCAAAAGGCUACUUAUUUCAUCUUGGACUUAAGUGGUGACACGAGUAUUGUCAAAU